rnacentral:rRNA from 1 species
AACGAACGCUGGCGGCAUGCCUAACACAUGCGAGUCGAACGAGACCUUCGGGUCUAGUGGCGCACGGGUGCGUAACGCGUGGGAACCUGCCCUUAGGUUCGGAAUAACUCCCCGAAAGGGGUGCUAAUACCGGAUAAUGUCUUCGGACCAAAGAUUUAUCGCCUUUGGAUGGGCCCGCGUUGGAUUAGCUAGUUGGUAGGGUAAAAGCCUACCAAGGCGACGAUCCAUAGCUGGUCUGGGAGGAUGAUCAGCCACACUGGGACUGAGACACGGCCCAGACUCCUACGGGAGGCAGCAGUGGGGAAUAUUGGACAAUGGGCGAAAGCCUGAUCCAGCAAUGCCGCGUGAGUGAUGAAGGCCUUAGGGUUGUAAAGCUCUUUUACCCGGGAUGAUAAUGACAGUACCGGGAGAAUAAGCUCCGGCUAACUCCGUG